CAUAUACUCCCUCCGUCCCAAAAUUCUUGUCUUAGAUUUGUCUACAUAUGGAUGUAUCUAGUCACAUCUUAGUCUUAGAUACAUUCGUAUCUGAUCAAUUCAAGACAAGAAUUUUGGGACGGAGGGAGUACAAU
rfam:Triticum aestivum genome assembly, contig: Triticum_aestivum_CS42_TGACv1_scaffold_404755_5BL